GGGCCCGCACAAGCGGUGGAGCAUGUGGUUUAAUUCGAUGAUACGCGAGGAACCUUACCAGGGCUUAAAUGUAGAACGACAGAGGUGGAAACACCUCCUUCUUCGGACGGUCUACAAGGUGCUGCAUGGUUGUCGUCAGCUCGUGCUGUGAAGUGUCGGGUUAAGUCCCAUAACGAGCGCAACCCCUAUUUCUAGUUGCCAGCGGUUCGGCCGGGGACUCUAGAGAAACUGCCAGCGUAAGCUGUGAGGAAGGUGGGGAUGACGUCAAAUCAUCACGGCCCUUACGUCCUGGGCCACACACGUGCUACAAUGGUGAGGACAGAGAGUUGCCAACCCGCGAGGGUGAGCCAA
rnacentral:rRNA from 1 species